GACGAACGCUGGCGGCGUGCUUAACACAUGCAAGUCGAACGGAAAGGCUCCUUUGGGUUUAUUCGAUUGGCGAACGGGUGAGUAACACGUGAGUAACCUGCCCUUCACUUCCGGAUAACUUCAUACAACUGGGUCUAAUACCGGAUAGGAAUUCUUUCUGCAUGGUGGGUUUUGUAAAGCUUCGUCGGUUUUGGAUGGACUGGUGGCUUAUCAGCUUGUUGGUGGGGUAGUGGCUUACUAAUGCUUUGACGGGUAGCCGGCCUGAGAGGGCGACCGGACACAUUGGAACGGAGAUACGGCCCAGACUACAACGGGAGGCAGCAGAGGGGAAUAUUGCACAAUAGGAGGAAGCAUGAUGCAGCAACGCAGCGUGCGGGAUGACGGGAUUCGGGUUGUAAACCGCUUUCAGCAGGGGCGAAGCUUGUGGUGACGGUACCUGAAGAAGAAGCACCGGCUAACUACGUG
rnacentral:rRNA from 1 species